rnacentral:rRNA from 2 species
CACGCCGCGUGAGUGAAGAAGGGUUUCGGCUCGUAAAACUCUGUUGUUAAAGAAGAACAUAUCUGAGAGUAACUGUUCAGGUAUUGACGGUAUUUAACCAGAAAGCCACGGCUAACUACGUGCCAGCAGCCGCGGUAAUACGUAGGUGGCAAGCGUUGUCCGGAUUUAUUGGGCGUAAAGCGAGCGCAGGCGGUUUUUUAAGUCUGAUGUGAAAGCCUUCGGCUCAACCGAAGAAGUGCAUCGGAAACUGGGAAACUUGAGUGCAGAAGAGGACAGUGGAACUCCAUGUGUAGCGGUGAAA